CCCUUAGAUGUCCGGGGCUGCACGCGCGCUAAACUGUAGAAAGCAGAGUGCUUUAAAACCUUUCCUGAAAAGGAUGGGUAACCCCAGCAAAAUUCUACGUGCUUGGGAUAGAGAUUUGCAAUUUUCUCUCUUGAACGAGGAAUUCCCAGUAAGUGCGAGUCAUCAGCUCGCGUUGAUUACGUCCCUGCCCUUUGUACACACCGCCCGUCGCUACUACCGAUUGGGAAAAUUUUAGAGAGUCCUGGACUGAUGAUUGUUCGGCUUCACGGCCUUACUUUCGUCGGGAAAGAAUUCGAUAAUAUUUUUCUAGAGGAAGUAAAAGUCGUAACA
rnacentral:rRNA from 1 species